rnacentral:pre_miRNA from 1 species
CAAAGCGGCGAUUACACAGAAGAUCGUGUCGUUCUAGAUUACAUGGAUAUAUGUGACUAGAAUGUUCACCUUCUUUAGUAGAAUCCGCGAUCAUCU